AUAUAUUUAUGAGCACGCCAUGAAAGACGACACAAUUCAUCAUGAAUUGUUUGCUUGCUCUAUCACCUCUCUUCAUCUUGCUUACGUCUAUCGUGAUCGAAGGUUAUGGAACAAAUUUGGGAUCCAUCACCACGUCUAUGGAAACUGAUAGAACGAUAAGCAGGCAACGCAAAAAGUGCGUCCUUUUGGCACAUUGGGGUUAGUGCCAGAGCAAAGCUGAAUACAUGGAAAAGGAAUGUCCAGCUACGUGUGGACCUGGAGACCUUUGUGAGAACUGGCUCCCGGAAUGUGAUCUCAUGGCGGCCAAUGAGUUUUGCACGACAAGGGAAAUAUUUAUGAUAAUGUAUUGCUACAAAUCAUGUCUUUGUGACAAAGGCCGAUAGUAAGCACGCGGUGGAACAUGCAACGAGUAUUUGAAUCUGAAAUGCACUAACAGUUGCCAAUCGUGGUGAAAUAUGACACUGGAAAGAAAAUCGAAAAUAAAGCAUGCCUUGAAUUUA